AUUGAACGCUGGCGGCAGGCCUAACACAUGCAAGUCGAACGAGUGGCGGACGGGUGAGCAAUGUGGGGGAAAGUGCCUGAUGGAGGGGGAAAACUAGGGGAAACGGUAGCUAAUACCGCAUACCAUCGGAUGUGCCGAGAUGGGAUUAGCUGUUAGGUGGGGUAACGGCUCACCUAGGCGACGCUCCCUAGCUGGUCUGAGAGGAUGACCAGCCACACUGGAACUGAGACACGGUACAGACUCCUACGGGAGGCAGCAGUGGGGAAUAUUGCACAAUGGGCGCAAGCCUGAUGCAGCCAUGCCGCGUGUAUGAAGAAGGCCUUCGGGUUGUAAAGUACUUUCAGCGGGGAGGCGUUACCCGCAGAAGAAGCACCGGCUAACUCCGUGCCAGCAGCCGCGGUAAUAC
rnacentral:rRNA from 1 species